rnacentral:rRNA from 1 species
GACGAACGCUGGCGGCGUGCUUAACACAUGCAAGUCGAACGAUGAACCCGGAGCUUGCCCCGGCGGAUUAGUGGCGAACGGGUGAGUAACACGUGAGUAACCUGCCCUUGACUCUGGGAUAACUGCUAGAAAUGGUAGCUAAUACCGGAUACGACCCUCGGUGGCAUCACCCGGGGGUGGAAAGAAUUUCGGUCAAGGAUGGACUCGCGGCCUAUCAGCUAGUUGGUGAGGUAACGGCUCACCAAGGCGACGACGGGUAGCCGGCCUGAGAGGGUGACCGGCCACACUGGGACUGAGACACGGCCCAGACUCCUACGGGAGGCAGCAGUGGGGAAUAUUGCACAAUGGGCGCAAACCUGAUGCAGCAACGCCGCGUGAGGGAUGACGGCCUUCGGGUUGUAAACCUCUUUUAGUAGGGAAGAAGCGAAAGUGACGGUACCUGCAGAAAAAGCACCGGCUAACUACGUGCCAGCAGCCGCCGUAA